UAUAUAUUCGUGUGCUAUAUAUAGCCCACGCCUUCCGAGUAAGUUCAGGCCACCAGGACCCCGAUCGACUAAAAUUAUUCCGGGCAAUCAAAUACGACCUAAGGAACAAUAGUCACCGCCCAGCCGUGGCCGUUCCUCGUUGUUUUGCAUUUACGGCAAAUAAACUAGAAUUUCGCCCGAUUCCCAUAUUUUCGUGUGCUAUAUAUAGCCCACGCCUUCCUAGUGGGUCCGGGCCCCCCGGACCCCGAUCGCCUAAAAUUUAUUUGGGCCAUCAAAUACGUCCUAAGGAACCAUAGUCACCGCCCCGCCAUGACUGUUCCUCAUUGUUUUGCUUUUUACGACCAAAAAACUAAAAUUCCUCCCGAUUCCCAUAUUUUCGUGUGCUCUAGCCCAUGCCUUCCGAGUGGGCCCGGGUCUCCCGAAACCGAAUUGCCUAACAGUUUUCUAGGCUAUCAAAUACGACCUAAGGAACCAUAGUCACCGCCCCGCCAUGGCCGUUCCUCGUUGUUUUGCGUUUUACGGCCAAAAAACUAGCAUUCCGCCCGAUUCCCAUAUAUUCGUGUGCUAUAUAUAGCCCACGCCUUCCUAGUGGGUCCGGGCCCUCCGGACCCUGAUCGCCUAAAAUUUUUCUAA
rnacentral:lncRNA from 1 species